rnacentral:rRNA from 1 species
GACGAACGCUGGCGGCGUGCUUAACACAUGCAAGUCGAACGGUAAGGCCCUUCGGGGUACACGAGUGGCGAACGGGUGAGUAACGCGUGAGUAACCUGCCCUUCACUCUGGGAUAACAGUUGGAAACGGCUGCUAAUACCGGAUAUUCAGCUCCUGUCGCAUGGUGGGGGUUGGAAAGUUUUGGUGGUGGAGGAUGGGCUCGCGUCCUAUCAGCUUGUUGGUGGGGUGAUGGCCUACCAAGGCGUCGACGGGUAGCCGGCCUGAGAGGGCGACCGGCCACAUUGGGACUGAGAUACGGCCCAAACUCCUACGGGAGGCAGCAGUGGGGAAUAUUGCACGAUGGGCGGAAGCCUGAUGCAGCAACGCCGCGUGCGGGAUGACGGCCUUCGGGUUGUAAACCGCUUUCAGCAGGGACGAAGCGCAAGUGACGGUACCUGCAGAAGAAGCACCGGCUAACUACGUG